GUGGGUAUAGCUCAGUGGUAGAGUGCAUGCUUAGUGUGCACAAGGUCCUAGGUUCAAUCCCCAGUACCUCCA
rnacentral:tRNA from 1 species